GACGAACGCUGGCGGCGUGCUUAACACAUGCAAGUCGAACGAUGAAGCGGUGCUUGCACCGUGGAUUAGUGGCGAACGGGUGAGUAACACGUGAGUAACCUGCCUUCCACUCUGGGAUAAGCGCUGGAAACGGCGUCUAAUACUGGAUAUGACAUUUCCUCGCAUGGGGUGGUGUGUAAAGAUUUUUUGGUGGUAGAUGGACUCGCGGCCUAUCAGCUUGUUGGUGGGGUAAUGGCCUACCAAGGCGACGACGGGUAGCCGGCCUGAGAGGGUGACCGGCCACACUGGGACUGAGACACGGGCCAGACUCCUACGGGAGGUAGCAGUGGGGAAUAUUGCACAAUGGGCGAAAGCCUGAUGCAGCGACGCCGCGUGAGGGAUGACGGCCUUCGGGUUGUAAACCUCUUUCAGCUCUGACGAAGCUUUUUGUGACGGUAGGAGCAGAAGAAGCACCGGCUAACUACGUGCCAGCAGCCGCCGUAAAAC
rnacentral:rRNA from 1 species